rnacentral:misc_RNA from 1 species
GAUGAAGAACGUAGUGAAAUGCGAUAAGUAAUGUGAAUUGCAGAAUUCAGUGAAUCAUCGAAUCUUUGAACGCACAUUGCGCCCCCUGGUAUUCCGGGGGGCAUGCCUGUCCGAGCGUCAUUACAACCCUCAAGCCCAGCUUGGUGUUGGGCCCCGCCGCCCCGGCGGGCCCUAAAGUCAGUGGCGGUGCCGUCCGGCUCCGAGCGUAGUAAUUCUUCUCGCUCUGGAGGUCCGGUCGUGUGCUCGCCAGCAACCCCCAAUUUUUUUCAGGUUGACCUCGGAUCAGGUAGGGAUACCCGCUGAACUUAAGCAUAUCAAUAAGCGGAGGA